GGCAGGUCUGAAGGCAGUGAGUUAUUUCAUUUGAUAGUUCAUACUGAGUUACAAGGAACUGGAUUCCUUGUUCUAUUUUUUUCCCCCUUCUCACUACUAUACUGGGCUAAAA
ensembl:misc_RNA Y_RNA Y RNA